UGAGGAAUAUUGGUCAAUGGGCGCGAGCCUGAACCAGCCAAGUAGCGUGCAGGAUGACGGCCCUAUGGGUUGUAAACUGCUUUUAUACGGGGAUAAAGUAUGCCACGUGUGGUUUAUUGCAGGUACCGUAUGAAUAAGGACCGGCUAAUUCCGUGCCAGCAGCCGCGGUAAUACGGAAGGUCCGGGCGUUAUCCGGAUUUAUUGGGUUUAAAGGGAGCGUAGGCCGGGUUUUAAAGCGUGCCGUGAAAUGUCGGGGCUCAACCUUGACACUGCGGCGCGAACUGGAGUCCUUGAGUGCGCGGAACGUAUGCGGAAUUCGUGGUGUAGCGGUGAAAUGCUUAGAUAUCACGAAGAACCCCGAUUGCGAAGGCAGCAUACGGCAGCGCUACUGACGCUGAAGCUCGAAGGCGCGGGUAUCGAACAGGAUUAGAUACC
rnacentral:rRNA from 1 species